rnacentral:rRNA from 1 species
GACGAACGCUGGCGGCGUGCCUAAUACAUGCAAGUCGAACGCUUCUUUCCUCCCGAGUGCUUGCACUCAAUUGGAAAGAGGAGUGGCGGACGGGUGAGUAACACGUGGGUAACCUACCCAUCAGAGGGGGAUAACACUUGGAAACAGGUGCUAAUACCGCAUAACAGUUUAUGCCGCAUGGCAUAAGAGUGAAAGGCGCUUUCGGGUGUCGUUGAUGGAUGGACCCGCGGUGCAUUAGCUAGUUGGUGAGGUAACGGCUCACCAAGGCCACGAUGCAUAGCCGACCUGAGAGGGUGAUCGGCCACACUGGGACUGAGACACGGCCCAGACUCCUACGGGAGGCAGCAGUAGGGAAUCUUCGGCAAUGGACGAAAGUCUGACCGAGCAACGCCGCGUGAGUGAAGAAGGUUUUCGGAUCGUAAAACUCUGUUGUUAGAGAAGAACAAGGACGUUAGUAACUGAACGUCCCCUGACGGUAUCUAACCAGAAAGCCACGGCUAACUACGUGC